AGCCUGUGGGGAAGAGAAGAGCACGGCAGGGUGAAGGCCCGGCGGAGACACUCUGCCCACCCCACACCCUGCCUAUGGGCCACACAGCU
ensembl:miRNA